UGGCCACAUCCCCUGAAAGAGCACUCC
rnacentral:piRNA from 1 species